rnacentral:rRNA from 1 species
UGGGGAAUUUUGGACAAUGGGGGAAACCCUGAUCCAGCCAUCCCGCGUGUGCGAUGAAGGCCUUCGGGUUGUAAAGCACUUUUGGCAGGAAAGAAACGUCAUGGGUUAAUACCCCGUGAAACUGACGGUACCUGCAGAAUAAGCACCGGCUAACUACGUGCCAGCAGCCGCGGUAAUACGUAGGGUGCAAGCGUUAAUCGGAAUUACUGGGCGUAAAGCGUGCGCAGGCGGUUCGGAAAGAAAGAUGUGAUAUCCCAGAGCUCAACUUUGGAACUGCAUUUUUAACUACCGGGCUAGAGUGUGUCAGAGGGAGGUGGAAUUCCGCGUGUAGCAGUGAAAUGCGUAGAUAUGCGGAGGAACACCGAUGGCGAAGGCAGCCUCCUGGGAUAACACUGACGCUCAUGCACGAAAGCGUGGGGAGCAAACAGG